GAUGAACGCUGGCGGCGUGCCUAAUACAUGCAAGUCGAGCGAACGGACGAGAAGCUUGCUUCUCUGAUGUUAGCGGCGGACGGGUGAGUAACACGUGGAUAACCUACCUAUAAGACUGGGAUAACUUCGGGAAACCGGAGCUAAUACCGGAUAAUAUUUUGAACCGCAUGGUUCAAAAGUGAAGGACGGUCUUGCUGUCACUUAUAGAUGGAUCCGCGCUGCAUUAGCUAGUUGGUAAGGUAACGGCUUACCAAGGCAACGAUGCAUAGCCGACCUGAGAGGGUGGUCGGCCACACUGGAACUGAGACACGGUCCAGACUCCUACGGGAGGCAGCAGUAGGGAAUCUUCCGCAAUGGGCGAAAGCCUGACGGAGCAACGCCGCGUGAGUGAUGAAGGUCUUCGGAUCGUAAAACUCUGUUAUUAGGGAAGAACAUAUGUGUAAGUAACUGUGCACAUCUUGACGGUACCUAAUCAGAAAGCCGCGGCUAACUACGUG
rnacentral:rRNA from 1 species